rnacentral:rRNA from 1 species
UACGAAGGGUGCAAGCGUUACUCGGAAUUACUGGGCGUAAAGGGCGCGUAGGCGGCGCGGGAAGUCGAGUGUGAAAGCCCCGGGCUCAACCUGGGAAUUGCCGCUCGAUACUUCUUGUGCUUGAGUUCGGGAGAGGAGCGUGGAAUUCCAGUGUAGAGGUGAAAUUCGAUAGAUAUUGGGAAGAAACACCGGUGGACGAAGGCGGCGCUCUGGACCGAGACUGACGCUGAGGCGCGAAAGCGUGGGGAGCAAACAGGG